rnacentral:miRNA from 2 species
CGAACUUAUUGCAACUAGCUU